GAUGAACGCUAGCGGCAGGCCUAACACAUGCAAGUCGAGGGAGAAGCCCUUUCGGGGGCAGAAACCGGCGCACGGGUGCGUAACGCGUAUGCAACCUACCUUUCACAGGGGGAUAGCCCGAAGAAAUUUGGAUUAAUACCCCAUAAUAUUAUUGGAUGGCAUCAUUUGAUAAUUAAAACUGCGGUGGUGAAAGAUGGGCAUGCGUCCUAUUAGCUAGUUGGAGUGGUAACGGCACCCCAAGGCUACGAUAGGUAGGGGUCCUGAGAGGGAGAUCCCCCACACUGGUACUGAGACAGGGACCAGACUCCUAUGGGAGGCAGCAGUGAGGAAUAUUGGUCAAUGGUCGGAAGACUGAACCAGCCAUGCCGCGUGCAGGAAGAAUGCCUUAUGGGUUGUAAACUGCUUUUAUAUGGGAAGAAUAAGGCGUACGUGUACGUUGAUGACGGUACCAUAUGAAUAAGCAUCGGCUAACUCCGUG
rnacentral:rRNA from 1 species